rnacentral:rRNA from 1 species
UACGUAGGGGGCAAGCGUUGUCCGGAAUUAUUGGGCGUAAAGAGCGUGUAGGCGGUCCGGUAAGUCAGCUGUGAAAGUCAAGGGCUCAACCCUUGAAAGCCGGUUGAUACUGUCGGGCUAGAGUCCGGAAGAGGCGAGUGGAAUUCCCGGUGUAGCGGUGAAAUGCGUAGAUAUCAGGAGGAACACCGAUGGCGAAGGCAGGUCUCUGGGCUGACACUGACGCUCAUGCACGAAAGCGUGGGGAGCAAACAGG